AGAUGAUGAAAUCACCCAGAAUAGCUGGAGUUAUCAGAUGAUUGUGUAGUGGGGAGCCUAUGGUUUUCUGAAG
ensembl:snoRNA